rnacentral:rRNA from 1 species
GACGAACGCUGGCGGCGUGCCUAAUACAUGCAAGUUGAGCGCUGAAGGUUGGUACUUGUACCAACUGGAUGAGCAGCGAACGGGUGAGUAACGCGUGGGGAAUCUGCCUUUGAGCGGGGGGCAACAUUUGGAAACGAAUGCUAAUACCGCAUAAAAACUUUAAACACAAGUUUUAAGUUUGAAAGAUGCAAUUGCAUCACUCAAAGAUGAUCCCGCGUUGUAUUAGCUAGUUGGUGAGGUAAAGGCUCACCAAGGCGAUGAUACAUAGCCGACCCGAGAGGGUGAUCGGCCACAUUGGGACUGAGACACGGCCCAAACUCCUACGGGAGGCAGCAGUAGGGAAUCUUCGGCAAUGGACGAAAGUCUGACCGAGCAACGCCGCGUGAGUGAAGAAGGGUGUCGGAUCGUAAAACUCUGUUGGUAGAGAAGAACGUUGGUGAGAGUGGAAAGCUCAUCAAGUGACGGUAACUACCCAGAAAGGGACGGCUAACUACGUG